rnacentral:lncRNA from 1 species
GCAUUUGCUAGGUGGAAUUUAGAGACGCUGUGCACUAGAGAUCAGCAGCAUCUUUGAGACCGUUCUCAGAGGUCCUGGCAAGCAAACUUUAUUCCAGUGCUUCGAAAGUCUCCUGAGAACAUUUUUUCUGAGUGACUCCUGCUUCCAGACACAUUUGCCAUGAGAAGGGUUCCAAUCCUUUCCUGUAUUUGCCCUGAGUCAUGAAUGGAUAUGUGUGAUGCCUGCAAGUAAAACUGGUGAGUUGUCAAGCCUGAGUUUGCAAUAACUCUCACUUAUCCUUUCUUACUAAUUAUCUUCCCCUCAUU